UGCCAGCAGCCGCGGUAAUACGUAGGGGGCGAGCGUUGUCCGGAUUUAUUGGGCGUAAAGCGUGCGCAGGCAGUUUUAUAAGUCAGAUGUGAAAUCCCCGAGCUCAACUUGGGAACUGCGUUUGAAACUGUAAGACUAGAGUGUGUCAGAGGGGGGUAGAAUUCCAAGUGUAGCAGUGAAAUGCGUAGAGAUUUGGAGGAAUACCAAUGGCGAAGGCAGCCCCCUGGGAUAACACUGACGCUCAUGCACGAAAGCGUGGGGAGCAAACAGGAUUAGAUA
rnacentral:rRNA from 1 species